rfam:Myotis brandtii contig206934, whole genome shotgun sequence.
GGCAGUUCUUGGGUGACACACCCCAGAAUCGGGCUCCCUCCUCUCUGGUUCCGGGUCCGUCGCCUGAGAAUCGCA